ACUCAAAGGAAUUGACGGGGACCCGCACAAGCGGUGGAGCGUGUGGUUUAAUUCGACGCUAAGCGAAGAACCUUACCAGGGCUUGACAUCCCGGGAGUCUCUUGGAAACGAGAGAGUGCCGCAAGGAGCCCGGUGACAGGUGCUGCAUGGCCGUCGUCAGCUCGUGUCGUGAGAUGUUGGGUUAAGUCCCGCAACGAGCGCAACCCCUGUCGUAUGUUGUAUUUCUCAUACGAGACUGCCUCGGUUAACGAGGAGGAAGGUGGGGUCGAAGUCAGGUCAGCAUGGCCCUUAUGCCCUGGGCGACACACGCGCUACAAUGGCCGGUACAAUGGGUUGCGAAACCGCGAGGUGAAGCUAAUCCCACCAAAGCCGGUCCCAGUUCGGAUUGGAGGCUGCAACUCGCCUCCAUGAAGCCGGAAUCGCUAGUAAACGCGGAUCAGCCACGCCGCGUUGAAUACGUUCUCGGGUCUUGCACACACCGCCCGU
rnacentral:rRNA from 1 species